GGACAGAUGCAUGGAGACCCACAUGAAAUAAAAUCAGGGCUGUCCGGCAGAGGAGGAAGUGUAUAGCUUUACAUUUCUCGCACAGAGUUGGAGGGAAAUGGGAAGUCCAAGGAGUGAAAGCCUCACUGCAGCAAGAGAGGAAAGAUUGCUUGAUUGUCUCUUUCCUUAAACAGACAAGCAGGUAGCAUAUGCUGGAGGAGCCUAGUCCAUCUUCAAGGACGAACAGCGACUGGAGACGAAGGGAUAACCUGUGGCCCCAUUUUGCUAUUCCAUAAAUGCAGUGACAAAUAAAGUGAAGGAAAGAGAUCCAGUGCUGGAAAGGCAAGAAAUAAAUUCCAGUGGAGGGAGGUAAGUAGAAAGUAUGAAGCUUAAAAAUGUUUAUAUGAAAUACUAUGAAAGUGAAACUUUGGCGAUUAUAGAAUGAAUGAUGUGAAAUGAAAAAACGUAUAGGUUAUACUUUCUUCCUGGAUUCAAGUAAUAAAAGUGAGAAUUCUGAUUUUCAGAUUAUUAUUGGUAUUGUUCUCUUGACUUCCAAUAGCUCAAAUGCUUUUCUGAUUGAGAGAAGGUGAUUAGUAAAAUGGAUAAAGCAAUGGAAUGUUUAAUCAAUAUUUAUUAUUUCAGAACAAUAUUGUGGCUUUACAUGGGAAAGUGUAAUGA